CUGCCGUGGGCGCUGGAGAACUGAGGGGGGCUGCUCCUAGUACGAGAGGACCGGAGUGGACGCAUCACUGGUGUUCGGGUUGUCAUGCCAAUGGCACUGCCCGGUAGCUAAAUGCGGAAGAGAUAAGUGCUGAAAGCAUCUAAGCACGAAACUUGCCCCGAGAUGAGUUCUCCCUGACUCCUUGAGAGUCCUGAAGGAACGUUGAAGACGACGACGUUGAUAGGCCGGGUGUGUAAGCGCAGCGAUGCGUUGAGCUAACCGGUACUAAUGAACCGUGAGGCUUAACCUUACAACGCCGAAGGUGUUU
rnacentral:rRNA from 1 species